rnacentral:lncRNA from 1 species
GGCAAACCUGCUCCUGCAGCACUGGGCUUGAACUCUGUCAGAGAGAUGCUGUCAAUCAUUUUUUUGGAGUCAUGGUGAGUGUGUGGUCUCACCCUGCUAAGAGAAAAACUGAUGCACCUUAAGGAUUCAUGCUUAUUUUGGGUAGAGGACAGAAUUGUAGUUUUUUCUCCCUCAUUUCCCUCCUUGGUUUUUACCUUUCUUAAAGCAUGUGCCAUUAGCACGGACAAGUUUGCUAAUCUCUCUGAGCAGAGUUUUGUCUUAAAGCUGCAGUAUGGAACUUUUAGUUAGGCGACCCUGUGGAAAAAGUGAUAACUCUUAAUGUUUUGUCCUGUGCAUGUGAAAAUAGUGUUUUUAGACCAUCUCCUCACCCUGUUGCCAUGCAGCAGAGAAACAUCUCACUCUGUCUGAAUAUUUGCCGUGAGAGAAGUAAACACGGGAUUUACUUCAGCCUGCUGUCAAUCAUCCUCACAGCAGUUUCAGACAUCAAAAAUUACUACAGAGUAAUUGUCAUCCUUGGCAGUCUGUUUUGCUUCUGGGGGUCAUGCAGAGACAUCAGUACCAAUUUUUCAGCUAGACUGAUCUGUCACAGACAAUGAUGUGAUAUAUUCAUUUUUGCUUCCUCAAAAAUUAUUUCUAAAAGUAAAAUAAUCUGAAGCUUUUGUCAGAAAAACAAGACUGAGAAAGACUCUUUGCUCAAUCACAUUUGAUCCUUAAAAGAGUUUAAAAGAUUUUUAGUGCUCUGACUUUUCCACUGUCUUGUAAAAAAAAGAAUAGACCCCUUUGGCUUUAUUCUUUGUAUCAUUAUGACCUUAAAUUUCCUGUUUGUAUCACAUUUUGGUAUAUGAUAAAAUCCUUGGGUAGGUCUGGUUUCAAUCCCCAGAUUAUUUGUGUCAGAAGGGCAGUCCUCUUUCUUUAAGUCCUCUCAAUGAAAACCCCCUGUACGUCUAUGUGAACAAUGAAGCAGCUUAAGUACAGACUCUGACCUGAUUGACAAAACAUAAAAUGACCUCGUGGUUGUCUUGAAUGAUAAUUCAAAUCAUCAACUUUGAGGAGGCAGCCCAAGAGGCGGCAGUAGUUCAAGACACUUAACCCACCUUUCUUCCAGUGUGUGUCCUCCACCGGUGUAUGAUUGAGAGUGAUAUUUGGUGGUGGUCGGAGAGCUGACUGUCCCAGCUGUGACUAUUAAGGUAGUUUACCACCACCAGGGUGUGACUGUCAAUCAAUGAAUGAUGUAUCUAAUGUAAAGUGCUUUGAGGGUCUCUGAUUAAAAGUGCUGCAUUAAAUCUGAUGCAUUAUUACUAUUAUUAAAAGAUAAUGACAUUCAGUGAUUUAUGUUUUCAAAGUUCAGCAGACAAACGGCCUCACCAGUACUGACAAUUAACUAUUCAGCUAUGAUUUAUUCUUCAGAACUCAAAAAGCAUCACAUAAAACACAUAAAACACUUGUAUAUAUCAAAACCAUUAGGGAAAAGAGAAGAGAGGACAAUGACUGCAUGUUGUGGAGUGACAUUAUAACUUUCAGGGUUGAUGUAAUGUCUUUAAAUGAACAGAUAGCUAGAGAGGACAUCAGUUCACACUUACAAGUGCUAUCAAUGAUUUUUGACCUCCUGACAGUUAAAUAAGUCCUAACCUUUUCCCCAAUAUGGCACCAGUGACAUGUUGAGUCACUGCGCAGGAAGCUCGCCCGUGGUCUUGUGUGUGUGUGAUCUCUUUAUUCAUUCAUCACAGUGAGCUGCUGCAAGAGGUGACUGUGGAGACAAAGACUGUGACAAUUAAAGAGAAAGUCGGAAAUUGUGCCGGAUGACUUUGGGGCACAAUGGCAGAGCUCUCUAAAUGUCUCAACCAGGUUAGAUAAGGAAAGACAUAGUUAACAUUUGAUUCAAUUCUAUUGUUAGUGCAUCAUUGUAAUUCAUCUACUCACAGUUUUCUCGCUAAAUCACGCAAAAAAACUCCCUGAAUUUGGGGUAAAGGGUUCAAAAUGCUCUUAAGAUAAAGAUGUGUGUGAAAGAUAGAUACUACGAAGUAAACAUUACAAUCUACUUGUUAGUCAGAAUGAUAGAUUAAGCUAAAGAAGAAUAUUAAAUAUUUGGGUACCAAGCAUUAUGUUGAGGUUAUGUGUCAGGAAGAUAAAAUCUGUGACAUCUAGAAAAUAUAUAUAUAUAUAUUUUUUCAAUUAAAUCUUAAGAUUUCAUUAUUUCUGUAAGGAAAAACCCAAAACAGGGAAAAAAAUUCAAAAAUUCAAACUAAUUUUUUCUGCACAAACACCAGAAAGAAAGAACAAAGAAAAGAAAAAAACAUGUGAGAUUCACUGAGAUUUUGAGGUUUCAAGGUGUGGAAGUACUGUGAGUCUCUUUUAAAAUUCUCAAAACCCUGAAUAUCUAAAAAGUGAAAUAAAGUUCUGUUAGUGUCAAUGUCUGACAAAAUAUGAGACUUGUCUUCUGUUUGUCCUUUUGCACACAGUUAUUUUUUUUUUAUUCUACUGAUCCCCGCAUUCUGUCAAUAUUUCAUUAUUAAAUCAUUAAAUCCACAGCUCUGUCAUGUCAAUCCUGAUUAAUCAGAUAAAUCCCUGUCCUUAGUGUAAGAUUUUUCAAUUCUCAAAACAAACCCUCAAAAGUUUUUGCUGCUAUUUUUAACUAUAUAGGAAGUUAUUUUUCAUAGAAAGGGGACAAACUUUUGUUUCUUGAGCCUCUUGAAUGUUUUUAUAAACUGGUUUUGGACUCACAAAGAUCUGAGCAUACUUCUUGAUAAGUUUCCCCUCUUUUCUGACACAUCUGUUGAUUAAAAAAUGGCAGAGCUGGCAAAAAACAGCCCAAAUCCUCCAUGAUAAAAACAAUGCCCCUUUGUACAUGAAAAGCCCUCUUUGUCUGGGUAUCUUUGAUGCCAGCUGUCAGCUUAAAGGACUCAGCUCUGAAAGGAAAAAAUGAGCCUUUUUCCCGAUCAUGCGUUAAACUGAUAGUGAAUCCAGGAAUCCGCCUUUUCCCGCUCUUCCUUUUAAGUUGUGCAAGAGUUAGCAUUGAUAGCGCCGGUUCUCUGCCUUGAAAGCAGAUAAAACUCGACUCUCUAAUAAUAAAGAGCACCUGGCCUUUUCAGACCACCAUUCGUGAUUCAUCAGGAAGGAAAAUUCCCUGAAUCAGUUUGCGAUUGGAAGGACCUGCAUCUGCCGCUCGGAGAAUGUGAUGAUUCGGGACAAAAGCUACAGAGGAACAGCAGAAAUCACUCUGGCACCUGACUUUUUCCAGCCCACAUCUCUGGCGCUCAGACAAGGAUUAACUUCCACUUUGCUCCUCUCUUCCUGGGCUCAAGUCUAUCCCAACAACUCGGCACUUCAAAGGGGGGAGAUAAAAAGGGGCGAUGGAUGGUCAUUCUUCAGGGGGAAUUGGCUUAGAGAGGCUCUGUUUAAAAUGGCAGGAAUACACAAAGGAAAGCUGUUUUGAUGUGCUGCAGAGCGUCAGUGUCCGAGCAGCUGUACAGUAAGACUGCCAGACUUCUGCCCUCCAGAGUCUGAGCUGCACAAUACUGUCAGGAUGCCAGGAAAUACAGUAAGAGCCUGACAGUAAACACAUCACUGCAGCAGUUUUGACAGGUGUCUGCAAAUACACAAGACAAAACUUUAGACAAGAGAUUAAGAAGCGAAGGGCAAGGUGGAAGACCUGAAAUUAAAAACAGAGCUGACCUUACAUCUAGAUGGGUUUGAUGAUGUUAAUUUAUCUACCAAAUACUCAAAAUAUAAAUCACUUUUCUUCUGUAAAUCCAAACAGGACAAAGUCAAAAUUGCUUUACUAUGAAAACCUGAUUGUUCAUUUCUAUCAUAGCUGUCUGAUAUGGUGUGAAAGUUCAGGUUUACAGGUUCCACUUGUCAUAGAAAUCUGCCCAUCUGUUACAUAUACUGAUCAUGUAACAGUCUGCUCUGCCCCUCUCCUGCUCUGCUACUCAGCCACACCCCUCAUCAGCUAACUGCUUCCACCUGCUGCUCUCACCUGCUCAUCAUCUCCAAUCAGGCCAGUAUAUAUGCAGCUUCUUUCCCCUCACUCUUUGCCAGAUUGUCUUCGCUCUCAUGCCUGACUCUCCAGCGUUAAUUCCCGGACUGCUUACCUGGUAUCGACCUGAUCUGCCCCUGACCUUUGCUUCUCGCCUCAGCCCCGGUAAACCUGCCUGCCUUCUGUCCUUGACUACGAGCUUUGCCUCCCUGUUUCCUGCUAUUCGUCUGCCUGCGGCUGAAUGGCACUCAGCCUGUUCCUGCUCUGUUGAGAUCCCCCUUCUCGUCAGCUUCACCUCGCCAACUCACCUCCUCUGCCGACGUUGGUUCUGCCAGCUCCUCUGCAAGCUCUGGAUCCUCACCCAGUCCUCACCUGAACCACUCUCCAAGAAAUCUUCCUCCAGCUGUGAGUUGAGCGUUUUCCCCUUCACUACACUCGUGGAGCAAAUUAAGACUGUGGACAAUUCCCUGCUCACGAGUCCAAAACUCUUGCCUGACCUGUGGUCCACUGCUAAUCUGCUCGCCUAUCACCCGGAAGACCCGAGUUCGAAUCCUGCCAUACCCACCUGCUAUACUCUGCUGCUUCAUUGGAUUUGGUGUUCAAUAAAGACUGUUGUUAAAGUGAACCUGCUUGUUUGUGCUGCAAUUGGGUCCAGUCAAUACCCGUUACAGUACAAUCUGGCCAAACUAUGGACCCAGCACACAAUCCCUCACCACUGAAUUGCCUUGAGAGAAUUGAGGGCGUUCUGCAGCAACAUGAGGCCAUGAUGACUGCAGCUGCCACUGAAGCCAGACGAGCUGCUGAGACUCAGGGACAAUCACUUGCAGCGUUAGCCGCACAGAUGCAACAGCUAGCAGCUCAACUGACCCAGCUCCCCUCAUCUGCUGGAUCUGCCUUUUCUUCAGAAGCUUCACCUUCUGCUCCUGCACCUGUACCCGCCUCUUCUCUACCCAGCGAUGCUCCUGAGCCACGGGUGGGAACCCCAGAGCAUUAUGAUGGAGAUCGAGAGACUUGCGGCCCCUUCCUAACCAACUGUUCUCUCCUGUUUGCCCUACAGCCCCGCACCUUCGCCACAGAACCGGCGAAGGUAGCGUUUGUCAUCAACCACCUGACAGGCAGAGCUAGACUAUGGGGAACAGCUGAGUGGGAGAGGCGGUCUCCAGCCUGUGUUUCCUUUGACCUGUUUGCUGCCGAGCUUCGGAAGGUUUUUGGGUUUGAGAAUUCUGGUUCUGAUUCGGCAAGGGGACUGAUGGGACUGAAGCAAGGCGAACGAACAGUGGCUGACUAUUCCAUUGAUUUCCGCACCAGAGCCAGCCAAAGUGGAUGGAACAGUGCAGCUCUCCGUGAUGCCUUUCUCCAUGGGUUGGCAGAUUACAUUAAAGAUGAACUGGUUUCACAUGACGCCUCCCUCACCUUGGACGGGGUGAUUGACUUGGCCGUCCGUAUCGACCUUCGUGUUCAGACUCGUCGACGAGAGAAGCGUCAAGGAGGAACCCAACAUUCUCGUCUACCUCGCUCCCGUGGGGGUGCUGCUGCACCCAACUCCACCCCCUUGGGUCAGCAGUUUGAGGAUCCAGAGCCCAUGCAGUUGGGCCGCACCUCUCUCUCCCUGGAAGAGAGAGAGCGUCGACGCAAGUCUAAUCUCUGCCUCUAUUGUGGGGCAGCGGGACACUACAUCUCCGGCUGUCCAGCAAAAGCCAGAGCUCAUCAGUAGUUGGGGAGACCAUGGUGAGCUCAACUACCCUGUCACCUCCCCAAAGCCAGCGACCCCUGCUCCAAGGCCGCCUCCUUCUUCCAGAUGGCCCCCACACCUUGGCUAUCUUCAUUGACUCCGGGGCUGAUGCCACCAUCAUUGACGAGGAGGUGGUCCUUCAGCUGGGGCUUGAGCGGGUUCCUUUUGCCUCACCCGGUUCCUGCUCGAGCCUUAGAUGGACAUGUCCUGGGCACCGUCACGCAUCAGACCUCUCCUGUUCACCUGCUACUGUCUGGUAACCAUCAUGAAACCGUCCAGUUUCACAUCCUGAGCUCUUCCUGCCUGCCACUUAUCCUGGGAUAUCCAUGGCUCCGUCUUCACAAUCCUCACAUCGACUGGGCAACUGGGACCAUCCGGGAGUGGAGUUCCUCCUGUCAUCAGAGGUGCCUGCAGCAAGCCUCAGUUCCGCUUCAUCCCUCUGGGUGUCACCUGACCUCAGUGGGGUGCCACCCGAGUACCAUGACUUCUGCCAGGUCUUCAGCAAAGCCAGAGCCACCUCUCUGCCUCCACACCGACCCUAUGAUUGCGUCAUUGAUCUCCUGCCUGGUUCAUCACCUCCCAAGGGUCGCCUGUGCUCCCUGUCUGAACCCGCAAGAAGGGCCAUGGAGACGUACAUAAAUGACUCCUUGGCCGCAGGCAUCAUUCGUCCCUCUUCAUCCCCUGCUGGAGCAGGGUUUUUCUUUGUUGAGAAGAAGGACAAGUCAUUGAGACCUUGCAUAGAUUAUAGAGGACUGAAUGAGAUCACGGUAAAGAACCGUUACCCACUGCCACUCAUGUCCACUGCCUUUGAACUGCUCCAGGGGGCCACCAUUUUCUCCAAACUCGACCUACGCAACGCCUACCUCCUCGUCCGCAUCAGAGAAGGAGAUGAAUGGAAGACGGCAUUCAACACCCCUACCGGACACUACGAGUACCUCGUAAUGCCGUUUGGCCUCACCAAUGCCCCUGCCGUCUUCCAGGCUCUGAUUAAUGAUGUUCUCCGAGACAUGAUAAACCAGUAUGUCUUUGUUUACCUAGAUGAUAUACUCAUCUUCUCCCGGUCCAAGGAGCAACACAUUCAUCAUGUCCAGUCCGUCCUUCAGCGCCUCUUGGAGAACUCCCUUUAUGUUAAAGCAGAAAAGUGCGAGUUCCAUGUUCCUUCAGCAUCUUUUCUGGGGUACAUUGUGGCACAAGGCAGCAUCCAGAUGGACCCAGCCAAGGUCUCAGCUGUUACCUCCUGGCCUGUUCCGGAGAACCGCAAGCAGCUUCAGCGCUUCCUUGGGUUCGCCAAUUUCUACCGUCGCUUCAUCCGCAACUACAGCUCAGUUGCAGCCCCUCUCACCAUUCUGACCUCCCCCAAGGUGCCCUUCCAGUGGUCUUCUGCAGCUGCAGCGGCCUUCCAGUUCCUCAAGGAUCGGUUCACCUCAUCGCCCAUCCUCCUGAUGCCUGACUCUGAACGCCAGUUUGUGGUCGAGGUAGAUGCCUCUGAUGUUGGGGUGGGGGCCGUCUUGUCUCAACGCUCAUGCACUGACCAGAAGCUCCAUCCCUGUGCCUUCUUCUCCCGCCGUCUAUCCUCUGCAGAAAGAAACUAUGACAUUGGUAACAGGGAACUCUUGGCAGUAAAGAUGGCCUUAGAAGAGUGGCGCCAUUGGUUGGAGGGCACGAAGGAACCUUUUCUUGUAUGGACUGACCACAAGAAUCUGGAGUACAUACGCUCUGCAAAAAGACUGAACUCUUGCCAGGCCCGCUGGUCCCUGUUCUUCGCCCGUUUUAACUUCACCCUCUCUUACCGUCCUGGUUCCCGCAAUGUCAAGCCUGACGCCCUGUCCCGACAGUUCCAGAGGACAGAGGAUUCGGUUGUUGGAGCUGAGACCAUCCUACCUACUUCCUGUCUUGUAGCCAUGUUGACCUGGGACAUUGAGGAGAAGGUGAGGGCAGCCACAGAAGGACAGUCGGGCCCCAGUUCCUGCCCAUCUAACUGCCUCUUUGUUCCACCAGCCUUGAGGUCAGAGGUGUUACAAUGGGCCCACUCCUCCAAGCUCUCCUGCCACCCUGGGAUUCAACGGACACAGCAUGCCCUCCUCCGACGUUUCUGGAGGCCCACUAUGCAAGAGGAUGUCCGGGAAUUCGUCAAGGCCUGUCCAACCUGCAGCCAACAUAAGACCUCCCGUCGGCCUCCUGCUGGGCUACUUCAACCUCUUCCUGUUCCUCACCGCCCAUGGUCUCACAUAUCUUUGGACUUUGUAACCGGUCUUCCCACCUCUGAUGGUCACACUGUCAUCCUGACCAUCGUGGACCGCUUCAGCAAGAUGGUCCACUUCGUGCCUCUGCCCAAGCUUCCCACUGCUAAAGAGACUGCCCAGUUGGUUCUGCUCCAUGUUUUCCGUCUUCAUGGUCUCCCUGUUGAUGUGGUGUCAGACCGUGGUCCCCAGUUUUCUUCCGUGUUUUGGAGGGAGUUCUGCAGUCUACUGGGUGCUACCGCCAGUCUGUCCUCUGGAUUCCAUCCUCAGACCAAUGGACAGACUGAGCGUAUGAAUCAAGAACUGGAAACAGCCCUGCGGUGCGUGGCCUCCCAUAACCCCUCUUCUUGGGCGUCACAACUUUUGUGGGUGGAAUAUGCCCACAACUCCCUCAUCUGCUCUUCUAUUGGCCUCUCUCCAUUCCAGUGUGCUUACGGCUAUCAACCACCACUUUUUCCAGCCCAGGAGAAGGAGGUCUCCUGUCCGUCAGUCCAAGCCUUCAUCCGUCGCUGCCGCAGAACAUGGCUCCAGGCUCGCUCCACCAUCCUCCGUUCCGUGAGUCGUUACGCUGCCAAUGCCAACCGCCACCGUACUGCUGCACCUACCUACCAAGCGGGUCAGCAGGUGUGGCUCUCUACCCAAGACUUACCUCUCCGGGUGGAAUCCAAAAAGAUGGCUCCAAGGUUCAUUGGGCCUUUCACCAUUCAGAGGGUCAUCAACCCUGUGACAGUCCGGUUGAAACUCCCACGGUCCAUGAGAGUACACCCUACCUUCCAUGUCUCCAAGGUUAAGCCAGUCCACAACAGCCCCUUGGUCCCUGCGGCACCACUACCUCCCCCUCCACGAAUGGUUGACGGUGGUCCGGUGUAUGUAGUGCGCCGCCUAAUUCGUUCGCGACGGCGGGGUAGGGGUCUCCAGUACCUUGUGGACUGGGAGGGUUACGGUCCUGAGGAGAGAUCUUGGGUUCCUGCUCGCCACAUUUUGGACCCCAACCUCGUGGCCAACUUUCAUCGGCAACAUCCUGACCAGCCAGCCAAUGAGUCAGCUCGUCGAGGAACCCGCUCCUUGCCCCCACCUGUCCAGGAUGUGGAGGACCGUUCUGCGGGGGAGAUGUCAGGUGUCAGAGAAACCCUCCUCCAGACCCCCUCCACCCACCCUGCUGAAGAGAUGACAAGGUCUUGCUCCCAGGAGUUUUAGGCCCACCUCCACCCCCCCCCCCCAGUUUAACCUUUGGGGAUGUCGGGAGCCAUCCCUUGAGGGGGGGGGGGGGUUCUGUAACAGUCUGCUCUGCCCCUCUCCUGCUCUGCUGCUCAGCCACACCCCUCAUCAGCUAACUGCUUCCACCUGCUGCUCUCACCUGCUCAUCAUCUCCAAUCAGGCCAGUAUAUAUGCAGCUUCUUUCCCCUCACUCUUUGCCAGAUUGUCUUCGCUCUCAUGCCUGACUCUCCAGCGUUAAUUCCCGGACUGCUUACCUGGUAUCGACCUGAUCUGCCCCUGACCUUUGCUUCUCGCCUCAGCCCCGGUAAACCUGCCUGCCUUCUGUCCUUGACUACGAGCUUUGCCUGCCUGUUUCCUGCUAUUCGUCUGCCUGCGGCUGAAUGGCACUCAGCCUGUUCCUGCUCUGUUGAGAGCCCCCUUCUCGUCAGCUUCACCUCGCCAACUCACCUCCUCUGCCGACGUUGGUUCUGCCAGCUCCUCUGCAAGCUCUGGAUCCUCACCCAGUCCUCACCUGAACCACUCUCCAAGAAAUCUUCCUCCAGCUGUGAGUUGAGCGUUUUCCCCUUUACUACACUCGUGGAGCAAAUUAAGACUGUGGACAAUUCCCUGCUCACGAGUCCAAAACUCUUGCCUGACCUGUGGUCCACUGCUAAUCUGCUCGCCUAUCACCCGGAAGACCCGAGUUCGAAUCCUGCCAUACCCACCUGCUAUACUCUGCUGCUUCAUUGGAUUUGGUGUUCAAUAAAGACUGUUGUUAAAGUGAACCUGCUUGUUUGUGCUGCAAUUGGGUCCAGUCAAUACCCGUUACAGAUCAUCCCAUGGUGCUGCAGAGAUGCAAAUGAGGGAACGUGACCCAGUGAGCAUGUCUUUGGAUUGUAGGAGAAGGCAGACAUACCUGUAAGAAACCCAUCUGUAUUCAGCAGGGACCAGGAAGCAUCUUGCUAUAAGGUAACAGAGCCCCUCACUGAGAGUCAAGUUUAUUUCUACAGCCAUUGAAAAACAUCGGGUAUACUUUUGUUUCUCGUCCUAGAGAUAAAACACCUUCACUUUUGAGUUCAGCAGGUUUUUGACUGUGUGCAGGGAAAGGAAAAACUCUUUGUGUUGUCUCUGUCUCUUCACAUUUCUCAUCUUGUACAACAAAAACCUUCCAUUUCCAUUAUUCCUGUUACAUGAUGCUGAAACCAACUUUAUUAUAAAAAUCUAAUUCCAUUUUCUUUUAAGUGUUUGGUCCUCUACCAUAAAUCAAGGUUAAAAGCACGCCUUCUCUAAGAGGACACAAGUUUCCUCUUACAGCACUCUGUUACAUUAAAAGCUGUUAAUGGACUGCAUUCAAAGACCCUUGUUGUAGCUGUGCACUACAAGCCAGCCUCACUUUUUCACACACAGUCAUACACUGUUCCAUUCCACGCUAUCAAACACUAAAAUUACUUCAGUUCAGGCUCUUUCCUCGGGUGCAAAUAAACCCAGUUCUUUAGAAUUAAUGGACCCCAUCCUACCUCCUGAGCCAACACAGCCACCCCAAGGGGAGCUCAUGCACUCCACAUGACAGUCAUUUAGUGAGCAUGUGCUCACUAAAUCAACAAAUGGUACCUUUUGGUUAUGUUUGAAAACAUUAGUCUGUUUCAUUCAUCGAUUACAAAUAUGAUGGUGAAAACCGCACAUAAAAAGUAACAUCAAGUACUCAUUAAACUGUAAAUUUAAUUGUAUAAAGGCCAAACUGAUAAAUAUCACUUCUCAUGCUUCUCAUGUGAGUGUUUCAGAAAUGUCAACGCCAAACUUCAAACGCAUGAGCACACAGUGGCACGAGGAUAAAACACUAUGAGGAAGAUGUUCAUAACUUUCCUACAGCAGUUUCUUAUUGAUGCAUAAAGUUAUCGCUCUGCAUUAUAUUCUUCUAUAUACUCUUAUAUAUACUGACAAAACUAAAGUGGAGUUCAAAAGUCCAUGUCUUUUUUGAAGCAGCAUACAAGUCAAUAAAGCAAAGUUUAUCAAAAGUAUUUUUUCUUCAUCCCUUUUCUGCACAAAGCAGCACAGUAUGCCUGCGCGGCACUAAAAUAGCUGAGGGGAUACAGAAAUGAUUUCCCCAUAUCUGAACAAAGAGAGACAGCGCUUCAUCUUACACCAUAUAUAAUAAAUGCAUCCAGAAGAAACACAUCAAUCUUUUUCCCAGGGUGGACGAUUGAUGGAGAUGAAGGCAUUCAUGUUCCAGAGAUAAGUAGCAGCGUGAACACACAUACAUCAAAAACUGUGCCACAUAAAGAAAACGCACAACUUCUUGUCUGACUCCCCUGAUGUGGAAGAUUUUACCGUUGCAAGUGAUUAUCAGAAUAAAAAUGGAGACACAUUACUGUUACCUCAGGCGCUGGGUGUACUGUCUUCAGAUGAGCCUCUCCUUGGAGUCAGAGUUGUGCAAUAUGGAAACUAAUUUGAAUCAAUAGAGGGGCAAUGUUAUGACAUCUUUAAACUUUUGCUUCAUGGAGCACAUCGAUAUAAAUAAAGCCAUCACUGAGGAGCUCUCUUGCUUUAUGCACCUUUGUCCAGAGAAGCGCUGGAUAAACAUCACUUGAGAAGAGCAGACAUGCAAAGUUAUCUCUAAUAAAACCAACCGAACACUCAAGUUAAGAGUUUAAAACUGAUCAUCUUAACUGCUAAUGUAAUACACUAAUUCGAUUUUAAUACAAAAGCUAUUAACAAAUCUUAUCCGCGACUUACUACUGCAGAGCAAGUCUGUCUGUCUGUUUGUUUGUUUACUCUUCUUAGCUGUAGAGAUUUGCUCACACCUUUUUUCCCCACUUCCCUUUAACAGUCUGACACAGUAAAUUUACAGCUGGAGCCUCCAUCAUUAAACCCUCUUUUGGUUUGCAUGGCUGUUCAGCCCAGUAGAGGGCUUCAAGACUUAUGUAAACUAUAGUCCUUAAUUGACCCUCCUGCCCAUCUUUGCUUAAGUAUAAACCACAUUACCAGGAAGGAAAGUGUAAUAUCAAUACAAAGAAACCCUUUUCUCUACAGCUAGCUGUAACACGUGUUCUAGGUCUCUAUCUGUACCCCAAAGUCGUGGAGUCUUGUUUAGUAAGGAUUAAGCUGUUUGACUUGGGGGGGGGGGGGGGGGGUGUUUAAAUUGUUUAUUGUUUUGUAAUGUUUCCACUAAAGUAAUGAUAAAUGAUAAAGUUGCCUGCCUGAACUCACCAUCAGGUGCUCUUCAAUAUAGUGUUAGUUCAGGCAGGUAAGUCAGGUGAUUUUAACACCUGCCCAUAUCAGCCAACAGCUCAGAGAUGACCUAAUGAACAAAUAUCAUAAGCUGUAUAGCCUGCCUCCACCCCAGUUCUGUUUUUCAGGCUAUUUCUAAUUUGAUGUACUGUCACUGAUGCCUGCUUCGUUCUGUAGCCCUGGGUUCUUCGCUGCUGCUCUCCCAGCCUCGACAUGCACGGUGUGUUCACUUUGCCUCAGGCUUUGGUGAAAAACACACGUGGAAGGGCAGCGAGCUCUCAGAACACAGACAUACCCCAAUACAUAUAUUUCUGCAUGUAAUAAUAAUCUUUUAACUUAAGUUGUCUUGACAGAAAUUUGCACAGAUAUUUCGGUAGACUUUAAUCAAGUCUUAACUUGAGUACUGGCAGUUAUAGUGUAAGGUAGAGAAAAGGUGAGGUGUUUUAAUGGUACACUGUGAUAUAUACAGUAAAAGUGUACAGUUAGAAGUUUGAAUUGAGGGAAUAAUUUUAGUUUCUUUCAGAUUUGGGGGUCAGCAGGAAAACCAUCUAGUGGAAAGAAAAAGGGAUGAAUUUUCUUAAAAAUUUGAUUUAACCAGGAAAACCUCAUUGAGAAAAACAAUCUCAUUUACAAGAGUGUCCUGGACAAGAAACGCAGCAGCACAAUAGUAUGCAGUCUACCCUGAUGUCACCCCGAACCAGUCUGCAAUCAUCAUCUCAUGAUGACUGAGCUUUAAUUAAGACCUUUUAAACAGCAUGCAAGUGCUACAUGAGCCUUUUUACAAACCAACUCCACUCAUGCUUCUUAAAUUGCUCAUCAGACUGUAAACAAAAACAAAACACAGGGAGAGAAAUCCCUGCUGAAAGUCUGAUAUCAGUAAAUACUGACUGCUCCUGAAGCCACUAAGGUGGACCACAGAGGCUAUGUUACCCACACUGACACACAGUGAUGUUGCAGUAUCGUGUGUAGAAGCUGAUUGUUAAACUAAAACAAAUAAUGGUUCCUCUUUAUGUGCUCCAAAAGCUAAAUAACUAACUGUGAGUUGUAAUUUGUUAUGCUUUUUAUCUCCACAAGUAGGUAGUGCCAGAAACAGCAGCGUCUUAAACAUUUUUAGAGUGACUGUUUUCUCUGUCUCAAACACUACCUGAGCACAUACAGGACAGCCUCAGCUAAGAAAUAUGACAAACCACUUUAACUGGAAGAGGCCCCUAAACUGACUGAAGUUGUUCAUAGAGACUUUACAGCAGAAAGCUUCACAUGCUGCCUUAUAUUUGUUGUCUUACAGUAUAAUCAGCUUUUCUUUUUUUCUUUUUUGAGAGAGAGAGAAAGGAUUGCUAUAUCCAGUAUAAACUCUACCUAAGUCUGUUCUGCCUGCACUCAUCACUCACUCUGGAAUAAAUCCCAUGUUUUCUCAUUUCUUGCCGCAGGUUAAAGUUUAAAUCAAUCCCAGCCGACCAGCUUGACCCUGAGUACAAAUCAUCACUUCUGCCUUGAACUUAGAUAACCUUCCAAUCAAGAGAACCGUGUGCAGGUGGUGAUCACUUCAUCUCACAGCGCUCUUGUGUCCCAGAAUUGAUGAAAGCUUGCGCUGAAGCUGGCGGGUCUUCUGCUGGUUCAUCAAGGUCUGUGGAGCAAAGUCUGUCCAUUCACACCCAUGAGAUGCUUCUGAAGAGAAACUCCUCAGGUCAGAUGACUCACAACACGUAGUGCUGGAAAAAAAGCGCUUCAACAAGUUAAAUUGCUCCCUCUAGAAUUUCCAACUUCAGCAUUAAAUAACAGAUGAUUUGAACUCAAAUAACUCCCAAGCACAUCCUAAAGUAGACAGACAGAAAAAUCUUUUCAUUGUGAUUUUUUUCUCUUGCUGUUCUGGCUUGAAAAUGCACCCACUCACAUUCCAAUUAUUCCAAAUGCAGAUAAGCAGCUUGCUGCAAUGUUGAAUGAGGUUCCUACUAUCACCACUGUAGUUAAUGAAUUGACCUGCCAUGUCGUUUGAACUCGUGCGUUUGUCACUCUCUUCAGCUAAUCUGUUAUUGCAGAAUUAAAUCAGACAGUAAAUCAGUCAGAGUUUAUCUAUGGUGGACACAUUAGUCAGACUUUUAAUGAUACUGAGAGAUGGUCUGAGCUGGUAAUCACUGAUGGGUAAGGUGUGUUAGCUUGGUUAAUGAACUGAGAAUAAAGGCCCUGCCCGCAUGCAAGACAUAAUGUAUAGUGAACAGGCAGUUAUGCAGGUUAGAUUCCCCAACAAAGAGCACAGGGCUCUGUUGCACAAGCUAUGUGUGCAUUAGUCACACUUAAGUUAGGGUGUCAAGUCUGAACUCAAGUUGUAACUUAAGUUUACCUUUGUUCGGUUUCACAAUGUAUGAUCAGGCUGCCCCCCGGCGUAGUGAUUAGCUGUUCAGAGCCACCCUUGUUGCAGGUUUUUACAAAUCAGAUGUAAGUAUUCAACACAGCUUGCUUUUGAGGAGAACCAUGAUACAUUUAAACAUUUUUUCUCCUCUUAGGUUCUUGCAUUAACAUCUGCUGCAAAGCACUGAACACGACCACAGGCGCUGCUGCUCAGAUACAGCUGUUGUUACACAAAGGUUCAUACCAGGAGAGUUCUGCUCAGGUUUUUUCUGCUUGUCUUUGGGUCACCCUGUUGCAGCAGGACAUAAGAGGCUACGAUGACAUCUAUGAUGACACCUGUACAGCUCCUGCCUCCUUUUUAAUUGAGCAAUAUAACACGUUAACCUUAAUAUAGCAUCAUGUGCGAAUGUACAUGCUGUGUCAUUGAGUGUGAAAACCGCCUACGUCUCCUCAUCAACAUGGCAGGCCGAGGCUCAUAUGUGUUUGAUGAUUACGUCUACAAGGUGUGACAUUUGGCCCAUGAACAGGAGUGCUGUAAUAAACCUGCAUAACUUAAUGGUGGGCUAAGUGGGAAUCAAACUCUACCAGCUCUGUAUAAGGAAUAGAAACUUAUAUCAUUUUCUUGAAUCUAUUACAUACAGUCUGUUUGUGAGAGCUAACUAACAAGAGUGCUGUCCAAGCACUGUUAAUGAGAAAUCCUAAUGUUACAAACAGGUACACAUUAUUGACCCCUUCAGAGUUAGUUAGUAGUUUGAUGAUUUUUGUGGGCAGGGAUUAGCUGAAGGCAAGGCAAUCCCUUUGGAACAAGGUUCCAAGACUACCUGUCAGAUGGGCGCCAGGCAGAAAUAUUGGUCUCCUGGAGUUUUGACGAUAACCAUAGGUGUACCACAAGGGUCAAAUUUAGGUCCUGCAUUUUUUACUGUUAAUGUCUGAGGACCUACUCAUUUUGAGUUUUUGACGAUAGCCAUGGGUGAACCUCAAGGGUCUUUUUAAGGUCCUGUACUUUCUAUUAUUUACAUCUAAUAAUGCAUCAGAUUUCAUAUAGUGCUUUAUCAGAGACCCUCAAAGCGCUUUACACUGGGUACAUCAUUCAUUCGCUCACACAGUCACACUUUGGUGGUGGUAAACUACCUUAGUAAUCACAGUUGCCCUGGGGCACACUGACAGAAAUGUGGCUGGCAGUUUGCGCCUAUGGCCUCUCCAACCACCACCACACAACACUCACAAUCAUACACCAGUGGAGGACACACACUGGGAACAGUGGAGGAAACACACUGGGAGCAAGGUGGGUUAAGUGUCUUGGCCGAGAACACAACAGACAGACUCAGGAUAGGGAGGAAUCGAACUGCCAACUUUCUGGUUAUUGGACGAACGCUCUACCUCCUGAGCUACUGCCGCCCCAUCUGUGAUAUUAUUCCUCUCUGAACAAGUUGUCAUGCACAUUUUGAAAACACAAUUUUGUAUUCCAUUACCCAGCAAGCUGUUGUGUUCUACACAAGGUAACAAUAUUGAAAUUGUGACGGUAUAAAUAUUUUGGUAUUUGGACAGACGAUAAACUCACAUUUGAAUACCAUAUAGACUGAUUUACCAACAAACUACAUCAAAAAAAUGGUUUUCUUUACAGACACAAAUCUACAAAUCUAACAUUUUUGUUGCCUGUUUUCCUCCUUUUUUAUUUAAUAGGGACGUGAGUUACAUGCAUGCAUCUGCAACAGCUCUUGGGCCUCUAGAUGUUGGUCACCGUUCUGCUGACAGACCACACUCAUCAUCACUGUCAUACAGUAUAUACUACUGCCCUAUGGUCCCACUUCAUGUUUACCUGCAGUUUGACAUAGCUUUGACGUCUGCCCUAAAAGGGCCCAUAGCAGGUAUGGCAUGAUUGUGUUAAACGGGUUUAAUCUGCAUUUGCUUUGUGAUGUUGAUGGCUUUUAAAUAAGCAUUUUCCUUGGUUUGCAAACUCAUUACUUUCCGAUGUCUAUGUAGGUGGUGUUUUAUUCAUGAAGCCCUUUUUGUCAACCUCUUUGUAUCAGUCAAGACAAACUAGUAUUAAUGAUGUCUAAAGUGCAGUUGAACAAGACAACUAGACAAAUCAAAAUAAUUAAACAGAAUGAAAAAUAAGCAAAUGAGUUCAGGUCUGCUGCUUUACCUCAUCCCUAUAACAGAUGUGAUCAGAACAAUCAUGGUACUGCUAUAUUAUCCUAUACAAUGGAUUAUUUCUGACACUUUAUUCUAAGCAAUCUUCGCUUAGAUAAUUACGUUUCUCCUGUAAUGGCUGAGGGAUAAUUGGGGGCAUGAUAUUAAUCUGAAAUGAGUUCAUUUUUUAACAAAUAGGAGGAAAAGGGCAGAAAUUCAUUAUGAAAACGAUGUAGAAUACAUACUAUAGCUGCGCAUGUGUGAUGAAGCUGAAACCUGAUUGAUUGAUUUGAUAAAGACUUAAAGAAAUAUUCAUACACUAUAUAGAUGAUAAUGAAACAGUUUUAAAGUCAUAUGAAGUCAGGCAUGCAAGAAAUACUGUAAGCAUGGGCUGUAAAUGGAGAAGUUUAUCACUCAAAGAUUUCAUACACGUUAGAAUAUUAUAAACUAGAUCAGCUAUAGAUUCCUGCCACUACUUAGGGUUAAAGAUUUAUCACAAGUCAACAUACUUUACUGUAUGUGCAAGUUUCUGCUAUUUUUUACCGUUCAUUCUUGCUUUGUUCUAAUUCAUGAAUAUAAAGUAUUGACAUAAUCCAAUCCUUAUUUUAUUAAAAUUUCUACUUUUUCACCCUUUAGUCCUAUUUGUUUGACUGCUUUAAUCUUAUUUUGCACUAACCUGCUCAUGAAGAUGCUUUGUUUGUUUGUUGUGUCGCUCAACAACAAUAAAAGCUUGAAUCUCUAACCUUCACCUUUUUAAAGGAAAAUCAACUUCUUCAUGUCCAUGUGAUGAUUGACAUCUCGAUUCUGGAAACUUGAACCGUAUUCAGUCAAAGAUUAGGGGGAUUGAGGAUUUUUAGGCAGAUUCUCUGGAUUAAAAUAAGACUAUUUGACUUGUUGGUGGUGAUUUCAUACAUGUCUGUAGAUCUCAAAUCAUCAUGCUUCAGUUUAACAAAGACAUCCUAAUGAUUCAUCUUUGCAAAAGAGAGAUGAAUAAUGUUCCCAGUUGGCUGUAAGCGAGCUGCAGCAUGGCUAAAAACGUGUUUGACGUAAAUUGCUUGAUUUUAGUUCUUGCCAUCAUGGCACCUUGAACAACCACCUCAGAUUGCUGUUAGCAGCAUAUUGUUGUCGGUGCAUGGCUCCCCGCUGUGUGACAUCACUUCUGCUUUACUUUCACUGUUAAAGCCAAUCCACCUCGUGAUGCUCCUCUGGCUUCAUUAUUUACAUGUGUGAGGCAAUUUUCUCAGAGCUGAUUGCGUCUGUCUCCACUCCGACUAAAGGAUAAUUGUGUGGAUGAUUUUAAUUUCUGUCACUGCAGCAAUAUAUUUAGGAAAAUAUCACCAGAGGUGUAUCGUGCAAACAUAAAUAGAGCGUAAAUUAAAAUGCCAUGAACAUACAUGACUUAAAUCACUGAAUAUUUUUACAUCCUGCAUACUGCGAUACAUACUUGACACACGAUUUAUUGAGGUGCGAAGAGGCUGCAGACAAAGCUGGCUGAUUUUAUUUAAAUAAGACGAAACUGAGAUGGCAUGAAAUGCAAAACAUGAACAGAGGACAAAAAAUAUGAAAAGAAAUUUAAUUUUGCUGUGACAUGCAUUUCAUCGCUGUCGGGCAGAAAACUUGUAACUCCAUAUAUCAUUCUCUCUUUUUUGCAUUAAUCAGUGCUUUUCACAUGCCUGUUAGCAGGCUUUAAAUUAUUCAACAGAUAAAAAAGAAUGAAAAAUUUUCUGUUGUUUGUAGGCUUUUAAUAUUCUCAAAGAAAAGCACAAUAUCAACUAGUUUGAGGAGAAGCAUUCAUUGUGGAUAUUAGGGACUAAUAGUGUGGCAUAAUGAGGACUGAUCAGAAAGCUAACUUCAAUUGAAAAGAUACAAAGUUUAGGUCUAAGCAGUGGAGGAGCCUGCAAGUGGUAGAUACAAAAGACUAAAAAAUUAUGUGCCAAAAACUGCAGCCUGAUAAUAGCUCUAAGAGACAGUCCAUCCCCAUUGGCCCUUCAGUGCUGGUUAACGAAUUACUUUUGUUAAGGUUCAACAGACCCCCCAAAAUUGUUGGAGUUUAUGACUUACAGCCUUUUCUCAAAGCUAUGCAGGGCUCAUUGUGUAACUCAACUCAUUUAAAUAUAUAUUAGACCUUAAAGUUAUGUAGGAUAGAAAACACACCCAUGUCUUGCUAGCUGUUGUUGGUGACUUUUGGAGAUUUUUCAUAAUACUCUCAAAUACUGUGGCUCGUUAAUGUUUCCAACAGGCAUUCAUGAAGGCUUUGCUCCAGUUUGUCAGUAAAUUGUAGUAAUAAAGCAUCAGUACUAGCUUGCAACACUCACAGUACCUUACUUGUUUUUUAGGUUUUAUUUGUUUCUGUCUGCGCAGGAACACAGAACUGUUGUUUCACCGGCAGAAAGACAGCAUGUCCUUGUUAAGACAACACAGCUUGUUACUAGCAAGCAAGUCUGUUCUGUUCCCCCAUCGCCCGCCAUCCCACCUUAUGCGUGUCUGCCUACUCUCCAGCUCUGUGGCAGUAUUGUUUACCCUGCUAUUAGAUGUACCUCACACAUUUAGACUGCAUACAUGUUUAACUUUUUCAUUAGUUAAGUUUUUACUCAGCCCAAGAGAGCCUAUUAUAAAGCAACUCUACUUCUCUGGCUAGGUUUUCUAAGGUAUUUCCAAUAUGGUGACCACCAUCGUCAUGUGCAUCGCCACAUCAGAAACCACGGGUGUCACCACUGAGACACAGUCCAUUUAUCGUGUGGUUUACAGUGUCACAUCAAAGGUCUAAAUUGGGAGGGGUUAUGUGUUUCCAUCAAAUGGUCCAGUUUGGUUAAGUACAGUUUUGUGCAGUAAACCCUGAUCUUCAGUGUGAUUCCACAGCUGACUGUACCCUGGUGCUUUACAGAGGAAGCAUAUUGGCUGUGUAAGCGACUUUAUGUCAAUCCAGCGUGCAAAUUGAUAGAUCAGAUUGUUCGCUAAUUUAAAUCCCAUGCUUAUCUUGCAAUUCCAAGAAAAAAAAAAAAAAGAGUGGAAAGUUUGCAGAUUUUUUUGACAAGCAGCCUGUGAAUCUUGGCAUGAAUAUACAUAAAAAAAUCACAAGCUAAGUCAUCUAAAACCUGAAAAAUAUAACAUAUAACAGGGUAAAAUUUACUAAUAAGACAACAGCAGGUUAAGAGAAUCAAGUACAAUCCUUCCUCUCCCCUCCCCUCUCUCAAUGAACAGGUUGUAGUGUGUUUCGCUCUAUCCUCUGGCAUCAUAUACUGUUUAUAUGAAUAAGGAUGGCACAAACUUAGUGUUUUGGUACCUUUACCUACUUCUGAUAGAGGGAAUGCAAAUAAUUACAUGCUGUCUCUUACCGAACUGAACCAGACCAAUUGGCAGAAAUUCAGCCUUGAUGUAGAACAUUUCAUACAUCUGUCUCUUAAUCCUUCCAUCUCACCUGCAACAUUUUCCAGCUCCUCCUGGGGGUUACUAGGGUGUCCCCAAGCCAGAUGGGACAUAUAAUCCUUCAAGAGAGCUUUGGGUCUACUCCCCAGUUUUCUCCACCUGCUUCCCUCAGUUUGAUGUGCCCUGAAAGACUCUAAAGGCAGGAAGCAUCCUAAUCUGAUGGACAAAACCCCUCAACUGGCUCCUUUCCAAGCGUUGACCUCUCAAACGCUCUGUCUAGGGUUUUAUUAGCAGGGUUAAGGUCUAGGUUUGAUGAGGAGCUGGUAUAGAAUAAAGCAGAGGUACCAUUUUUAAGACUUUUAGACUUCUUCAUUAUUGUGUUUAAUAGACAGACUGAAAACUACCUGUGACUCUCAAAAGUAGUUAGACUUUAGUGUCUUUCACAGUAAGUUUAAACCAAUAACACAAAAUAAAAUUCUCCCUUAAAACAAAAAUAAUAAAUUCACAAUGUCAUUUUUUUUUUGCUUUUCUUUUUUCAUUCAGGUUCCACCCAUUCUUAAAGAUGAAGAGGUCUUGAUGUCUUGAUUCCCGAGAGAGGUUAGAUGAAGGCAGGAAGCGCAUGGCGAGGAAGAGGGGAAAGCCAGAGCCACAGAGGAUGAUAAAGAUGUAGAAUAACAGAGACAUGUACUUCAUACCACUGGAUCUACACAGUCACAGAAAAAGGAAAAUAAAAUCUAAAGAAAACACACAAA